CAGCAAUGAAUAAAACCGGGGUAUUUAAUUUCAAUGGUUGGCUUCAUGUGAAAAUUCAAGGUGAAACCCUAACCGACCGGAACCAUGGCAGAGAUUCAAGCAAGCCAACUGUGAAAGGUGACAAACCUAUACAACCUAAAAGUUUAUGUAUAUCAGCACAUAGUUUGUUUCACCUUUAACGUUACGUUAUAAAAAGUUAACAAGUCUGGGUUUGUAUUGACAAAGAAUAUAUCCCCUAACUUGUUCUCUUUAAGCCAUGGGUUUAUGUCCAAAAAUAUAGAUAUAAUAUAUAAAUAAGGGAGCUUCUACGGUACACCUCACAAAUUGAGGUGUAUCGAUACUCUGCUUCAUAAAUUUAUAAAUUAAAGACCAUUUUAUGAAAUAAGUUGUUAUUUGUCAUUAUUUAUAUUUUAAAAAACACGAUCUCAUGAGAAAAAAAAACAUUAUUUCAUUGUUUAUAUGAAUUAUAUUAAAAAAUAAUCAAUAUUCUUCAUUAUGAGCAAUAAAAAUUCAAAAAAAGUAAAUUUUAUUUCAUCGACGCUUUUGCUAAAUAAGAUUUAAUUAUUAUAGUUGUCAAUGAUAGAAAAUAAUUAUUUUUUCUUCAAAAAACAAUCAAUUUAAUUAUUAAUUUAAUGUUUGGUGUACCGGUACACUCAAAAUGUUGGAUGUACCAUAGAAUUUGCUUAUAAAUAAAUGUGUAUAAUAUAUAUGUAAAAAUUGAAUUAAUCCAAUAGGAUUCAAACUCCGUUGUAAAAAACAAUCCAAUCUCAACCAAAUUGCAUGAUAUUUUGUUUUAGAAUCGAAUGAUCAUUUAUUUGAAAGUCGAUUCAAACCGUAACGUAAACAGACACCUAUAUUUAUGAUAGGGGAUUGCUAACAUGGACGGAUGAAAGUGUUUCCUGACUAUAACAAAAAUGAUGAAAUUGGGAAUAAAUAAAAUAAAAGACGAAAGUGUUAAACUAGGCACUAAUAUACGGUAGUGGAAAUUUAGCAACCAAAAAAAAUAUUAAGAGCUUAUAUGUGUUCGUCACUAUAUGGUUUAAGACGGUGGCUCACAACAAUGACUUAACUAGUGUGACUUUGAGAGUCCAAACAAAUUAACAGGUGGACUCCUAGUUUUCUGAACUUGAUUUUGAAGAUGUCUUUGAAUUGACUUCGGAUUUUAUGGUUGAAAAUGGUUUGAAGUUAAUUUGUUUUAAAGAUAAAAGGGUUUAAAUGGAAAUGACGAUUGAAUUUAAAGAAACAUGAAUGUAAAAGGGUUUAGAUUAAAAGACAAAGUUGUAAAUGUCUUGAGACUAAAAUACAUAAUUGAAAAUGAAUUGAAACCUCAACUUGCAAGAAAGUAAAGGAAUAAAAAGACAAUGAUGUGAAUUGAAAAUCGACGGGAAGAUAAAUUGUUUUGAAUUGAAAUUACAAGAAUCUAAAAGAAUUUAAACACAAUGAAAGCUUGAGUUCGGUUUUGAUUAGGAGUAGUAUUUAGAAAUUAAGCAUUUGACUUUUUGUUCUUUGUAAGAAUUAGGUGGCAUUUAGGGUGCGUUUGACCUGACUUUUUUUUUCUCUCAUUCUCUUCUCCUUAAAAGGAAAAGGAGGGCCAAACAAAAUUUGCACAAAGCUCUUAACUAAUUAAGGAACUUCUAUAUUGUGUGUAAAAUUGAACAAAAAGAAAAGUUGUUGAAACUUACUUUAAAAUUGGCUUUUCGCUGCUUUCUUUAAUGUUAUCCCGUUCGAUUCCUACUGGCCACUUCAUUUUUAUUUUUCAAAAAUUUAUUUCACCUAUCAAAGUUUGUUC
rnacentral:lncRNA from 1 species